rnacentral:tRNA from 1 species
GGUGUUGUGGCUCAGUGGUAGAGCGCUUGCCUCUCACAUAGGAGGCACCAGGUUCAAACCUCAGCACCA